rnacentral:rRNA from 1 species
CAGAGGGGGCGAGCGUUGUUCGGAAUUAUUGGGCGUAAAGGGCGCGUAGGCGGCCUGUUAAGUCGAACGUGAAAUCCCCGGGCUCAACCCGGGAACUGCGUCCGAGACUGACAGGCUUGAAUCCGGGAGAGGGAUGUGGAAUUCCAGGUGUAGCGGUGAAAUGCGUAGAUAUCUGGAGGAACACCGGUGGCGAAGGCGGCAUCCUGGACCGGUAUUGACGCUGAGGCGCGAAAGCCAGGGGAGCAAACGGGAUUAGAUACCCCGGUAGUCCUGGCCCUAAACGAUGAAUGCUUGGUGUGGCGGGUAUCGAUCCCUGCCGUGCCGAAGCUAACGCAUUAAGCAUUCCGCCUGGGGAGUACGGUCGCAAGGCUG